UACAGAGGGUGCGAGCGUUGUUCGGAAUUACUGGGCGUAAAGCGCGCGCAGGCGGCCCUUUAAGUCUGACGGUGAAAUGCCGGGGCUCAACCCCGUGCCCGCCGCGGAUACUGGAGGGCUGGAGACACGUAGAGGCAAGCGGAAUUCCGGGUGUAGCGGUGGAAUGCGUAGAGAUCCGGAAGAACACCGGUGGCGAAGGCGGCCUGCUGGGUUCUGGCUGACACUGAGGCGCGACAGCGUGGGGAGCAAACAGGG
rnacentral:rRNA from 1 species